GAUCCCGGAGGCCAACAUCCGCCAGCGCCAUGCGCCCGCGGGUGCCCUUGGUG
rfam:Vasilyevaea enhydra strain ATCC 23634 genome assembly, contig: JN15DRAFT_scaffold00002.2